GGGAGCAGAGAGAGGGAGAGGAAAAAGAAUGGGUCUUAUGCUGUGUCUAUGGCAAAGGCUAUAGAUUUAAGCCAGCAGGAAGUCUACAUGGUGAAGUUGCUCUAAUGGCUGAAGGGACCGCAUGCUGAUACACUUCUAGGUGGGAAUGGGCGUCCAUUUUCCUCGUUGCCAUUUGCACAUAUGAGAAGCUGCAAUGCUCAUUCAUCUCAGCGACGACCAUUCAGCAAUGAAAAGAAUUCACUGGAAAUGUUGUUAUUCAAGAAAUUGGAACCACCUCUUCUUUGAAAUCAGCAUCUUAUGUAACUUUCUGAACUGAAGUACAUCAAAUCCUUAGGAUCUUGGGAAGAAAUUUAAUGACCAGGCACCCUGGCCAAAAAACAAAAGAAAGAAAAAAUGAAAAGGAAAGAAGAAAGAAAGCGCUUUAUGAUCCUUUAUGCCUUGCACCCUACCAUAAGAAUAGAAGUAAAGAAGAUCUACUGGGCUGAAGGGCCCAGUACCAGGUCCCUACUGGGGGUUCCCAGAAGGGUAGAUCGUGAGUCAAGAUCACAGUAAAAACACAGAAGAAGAAAAAUAAGGACCUCAGCAGCAAGGACCUCGCUGGCAUUAUCACUUGAACAUGUGCAAGUUUGUAGUUGCCGCAUCACUUCUUCAGCCUAUAUUCACAAAUACAUUUAAAUAUCAAAACAAUCUAAAGGCUACUGGCAAGAAAAACUUUUAAAAUUCCAACUUGAAACUAGUAACAACAUCAUCACCACGAACAAUAAUGAAAGCAACUAAAUAAGACUAGUAAGAAGAUUUGAAGAAACAAAUGUUAUUUCUGUCUCUGAAUUAACUCACAUUUCUAUCCAUGUUCCCAAAAGAUGCAAUCAGAUUGCUGAAGGAAGUAAAUAUAAGCAGUCAGUGCUAUUUAUACAAAGACCAUAAUUUAAACUUGAAGAAAUGCUAAAAGGACUUUUAACACCUCUGAUUUUGCAAUGUACAGUAAAUUCUGGAUUUGUUUUAUGGAAGGUCAGUUAUAUUAUUUUAGUUUUCAGGUAUCAAACAUUUUUUACCUAUAGAUUAAUUAUCCUUGAAACAAGCAGGAACAGCUUCAGGACAGCCUAUCAGAGGGCGUUAUGGAGAG